rnacentral:rRNA from 1 species
UAAUACGGGGGGAGCAAGCGUUGUUCGGAAUCACUGGGCGUAAAGGGUGCGUAGGCGGGCAGGUAAGUCAGACGUGAAAAUCCAAAGCUUAACUUUGGACCUGCGUUUGAAACUAUCUGUCUUGAGUACGGGAGAGGAAAGUGGAAUUCCUGGUGUAGCGGUGAAAUGCGUAGAUAUCAGGAGGAACACCGGUGGCGAAGGCGGCUUUCUAGCCCGAUACUGACGCUCUGGCACGAAGGCUAGGGGAGCAAACAGGAUUAGAUACCCUGGUAGUCCUAGCGGUAAACGUUGGGCACUAGGUGUUGUCUCUUAACCGGGGCAGUGCCGAAGCUAACGCAUUAAGUGCCCCGCCUGGGGAGUACGACCGCAAGGUUG